rnacentral:lncRNA from 1 species
CUUUAAUAUAAAUGUGUUGUGUACAGUGAUAUACUGUAUUAUCUUUAUCUAUCAGUAUCAGCUCUCUCUGUUUGAAUGACAGCUGUCUGUUCUUCUCAUUUUAGACUCUGGCCUUGAUACCUCAGAAGUACUGGACUACGAAAGACACACACAUACUGUCACGCUAACCAAAAGAUGUGAGGAAAAACACAUUAGCAUAGUUGGUUCGGAAAGGAUGCAUAAACGGAUGCUGCAUUAAUUGAGUUAAUCAUUUUUAAAUCCAAUAAACAUACAAUAUUAUUUGCAGAAACUGAUGCAUUGUUUUUACUCCAAACAUAAAAAUCUGGAGGGGGAAUUUAAAUAAAUGACAAUAAAGUCAUUUGAACAUAGUAAAUACCAAAGUGAAACACAUUUUCAGAACAUGUGUGUCUGCUACUGUCUGAACACCUCAAACCUCUAGAUGACAGAAGCGUUAAAUCGCUAGACCAGAUUUUACUCAACAGUGUGUAUAUAUUAAUAUCAUUCUCAUGUGAAAGAGCCAUAUGUUAUAAUGUGGGAGCUGACUGUUUUAAUCCCACAGGCUCAGGAAGAUGAGCAGGAUAUUGGCCAGGCCAAGUCUGCUGGGAGGCAGGAAGAGAUCUUGGCCAUCUGCAGGCUUCGUGGCUUUCCUGGAACACCGACAACAGAGAAGCAGCUCAAAGCGCUUGACAUGGACUUACAAGAUCUCAAACAGCAGGGCCAGUCAGCGAAGGCUGAUUAUGUCCAGACACUGUUCCUCUGGCUAUUACAAAAAGCUGGAAAGGUGACAACCAGCAUGUACUGGACAACAGUCCUGCUGCCACAUUUUAUAUCACAAUGUAAAAGUGACGUGACAUACAGCCAAGUAUGAUGACCCAUACUCAGAAUUUGUGCUCUGCAUUUAACCCAUCCAAAGUGCACACACACAGCAGUGAACACGCCCGGGGAACAGUUGGGGGUUCGGUAACUUGCUCAAGGGCACCUCAGUCUUGGUAUUGCUGGCCCGAGACUCGAACCCACAACCUUAGGGUUAGGAGUCAAACUCUCUAACCACUAGCCCACGACAAUGUCAAGCAGAUUACUACUGUUGGAUUAUUUACAAGUUAAAUGUAAUCAGUAGUAUUUAAUUAUUUUAAUUAUUUUAUUAAAGUAUUGUAACAGAUUGCAUUUGAUUACUGUUCUAUUUUUCUAAGGAAUGCUUUCAAUUGAGUUUACAUUAUGGAGACAGAUUAAUCUCAAAUAUAAUUCACGCAAAAAACACGAUUCACACAUGCGUAAACAAUUUCACAUGCAUGAAAUCCACGUACACACAAAAAAAAUUCACGUGCGUGAAAAAAAAUAUACAUAUUCAC